rnacentral:rRNA from 1 species
UACGAAGGGGGCUAGCGUUGCUCGGAAUCACUGGGCGUAAAGCGCACGUAGGCGGAUUGUUAAGUCAGGGGUGAAAUCCUGGAGCUCAACUCCAGAACUGCCUUUGAUACUGGCGAUCUCGAGUCCGGGAGAGGUGAGUGGAACUGCGAGUGUAGAGGUGAAAUUCGUAGAUAUUCGCAAGAACACCAGUGGCGAAGGCGGCACACUGGCCCGGUACUGACGCUGAGGUGCGAAAGCGUGGGGAGCAAACAGG